CCAGCUCCAAUAGCGUAUAUUAAAGUUGUUGCAGUUAAAAAGCUCGUAGUUGAAACUCUGGCUGUUCAGGUCUUCAGCCUUUGGCGAGGAUUCUGACAGUCAUCCGCUUGCAAACAUAUGUUCGGCCUUAAUCAGUUGGCUAUGUGAGUAAGCAUUUUACCUUGAGAAAAACAGAGUGUUCCAGGCAGGUUUGUCCGGAAUGCAUUAGCAUGGAAUAAUAGAACAUGACUGAAGUCUAUUUAUUGGUUAAAGGCUUUAGUAAUGAUUAAUAGGAACAGUCGGGGGCAUUCGUACUCAGCAGUCAGAGGUGAAAUUCUAAGAUUUGCUGAAGACGAACUAAUGCGAAAGCAUUUGCCAAGGAUGUUUUCA
rnacentral:rRNA from 1 species